AAGUAGUAAAGACAUUUUACAAGCUGUUCAGGAAUUGAACCUUCCGGUGCAAACUGUAGAACAGUUUCAGAUUUUAAUAAAAGAUGAAAAAGCAUUAUCCAUUUUGGAACGAUAUUUUAUCCUUCUUGGGGGACUGAACAUUUCAAAUGCAUUAGAUGGCUUCUUGAAGGCAAGUGUAACGGAUAAAUUAAUUAAGACAUCUUUUACAUGGAAAGAGGGUGAACAAAAAAUUCGGUUUCAGGAAACGCCUUUAAGUCUACGAUAUUAUGAUGCUCUUCGACAAAUUGAACAAUUUAAAAAUACCUCUAUUAAAGAGUUUGAAGUGGAAAUGCCAAAGUAAUAAAAAAUGCACAACAGCGUCACUACAUGGUUCAACAUAGAGUAAUGCAAGUAAGCUCCAGUGCUUUGCAACGAUCUAAAAUGGAAGAGGAGCUUGCGGCUAACUAUGCGUCAGCUGCCGCUCGUAAUCGACAGUAAUCGAGUAAUUAUCCUAACCCUUCGUAUGAUAUAAGCUAAUUAAUAUAAUACGUAUACAUAUAAUAUAAUACAUAUACUUUAUUUAUGUCAUUAAUAAUAUUUAUUGUGAUAUAAAUAAAUAACUGUAAUAAACAUCUGCACAUCUAACAUGAAAUAUAUAUACAAAUUGUGAUAAAAUAAAACUUAAAUAUAUAUUUUC